UUGUACCUGAAUCAAGGCUAGCAGGUUGUUGAAACUGGUGGUUCUGAGCAGGUACCUAAACAGAUGUCUUUCUAUAGUCUGUUGGCCAUUUUCAGAACUUUGGAAAUUUAAUGAUCAAUUCAUUCGAAAGAAACAUCU